rnacentral:tRNA from 1 species
GGUCCGUUAGCUCAGCUGGAUAGAGCGCUGCCCUCCGAAGGCAGAGGCCAGAGGUUCGAAUCCUCUACGGACCG